GCGGGUGUAGUUCAGUGGUAGAACGCUUGCCUUCCAAGCAAGAUAUCGUGGGUUCGAAUCCCAUCACCCGCU
rfam:Chloroflexi bacterium RBG_16_63_12 RBG_16_scaffold_56711, whole genome shotgun sequence.